CCGCUCGCCGGAAGACCAAGGGUUCCUGUCCAACGUUAAUCGGGGCAGGGUGAGUCGACCCCUAAGGCGAGGCCGAAAGGCGUAGUCGAUGGGAAACAGGUUAAUAUUCCUGUACUUGGUGUUACUGCGAAGGGGGGACGGAGAAGGCUAUGUUGGCCGGGCGACGGUUGUCCCGGUUUAAGCGUGUAGGCUGGUUUUCCAGGCAAAUCCGGAAAAUCAAGGCUGAGGCGUGAUGACGAGGCACUACGGUGCUGAAGCAACAAAUGCCCUGCUUCCAGGAAAAGCCUCUAAGCAUCAGGUAACAUCAAAUCGUACCCCAAACCGACACAGGUGGUCAGGUAGAGAAUACCAAGGCGCUUGAGAGAACUCGGGUGAAGGAACUAGGCAAAAUGGUGCCGUAACUUCGGGAGAAGGCACGCUGAUAUGUAGGUGAAGUCCCUCGCGGAUGGAGCUGAAAUCAGUCGAAGAUACCAGCUGGCUGCAACUGUUUAUUAAAAACACAGCACUGUGCAAACACGAAAGUGGACGUAUACGGUGUGACGCCUGCCCGGUGCCGGAAGGUUAAUUGAUGGGGUCAGCGCAAGCGAAGCUCUUGAUCGAAGCCCCGGUAAACGGCGGCCGUAACUAUAACGGUCCUAAGGUAGCGAAAUUCCUUGUCGGGUAAGUUCCGACCUGCACGAAUGGCGUAAUGAUGGCCAGGCUGUCUCCACCCGAGACUCAGUGAAAUUGAACUCGCUGUGAAGAUGCAGUGUACCCGCGGCAAGACGGAAAGACCCCGUGAACCUUUACUAUAGCUUGACACUGAACAUUGAGCCUUGAUGUGUAGGAUAGGUGGGAGGCUUUGAAGUGUGGACGCCAGUCUGCAUGGAGCCGGCCUUGAAAUACCACCCUUUAAUGUUUGAUGUUCUAACGUAGACCCGUGAUCCGGGUUGCGGACAGUGUCUGGUGGGUAGUUUGACUGGGGCGGUCUCCUCCUAAAGAGUAACGGAGGAGCACGAAGGUUGGCUAAUCCUGGUCGGACAUCAGGAGGUUAGUGCAAUGGCAUAAGCCAGCUUGACUGCGAGCGUGACGGCGCGAGCAGGUGCGAAAGCAGGUCAUAGUGAUCCGGUGGUUCUGAAUGGAAGGGCCAUCGCUCAACGGAUAAAAGGUACUCCGGGGAUAACAGGCUGAUACCGCCCAAGAGUUCAUAUCGACGGCGGUGUUUGGCACCUCGAUGUCGGCUCAUCACAUCCUGGGGCUGAAGUAGGUCCCAAGGGUAUGGCUGUUCGCCAUUUAAAGUGGUACGCGAGCUGGGUUUAGAACGUCGUGAGACAGUUCGGUCCCUAUCUGCCGUGGGCGCUGGAGAACUGAGGGGGGCUGCUCCUAGUACGAGAGGACCGGAGUGGACGCAUCACUGGUGUUCGGGUUGUCAUGCCAAUGGCACUGCCCGGUAGCUAAAUGCGGAAGAGAUAAGUGCUGAAAGCAUCUAAGCACGAAACUUGCCCCGAGAUGAGUUCU
rnacentral:rRNA from 1 species